rfam:Fistulina hepatica ATCC 64428 unplaced genomic scaffold FISHEscaffold_4, whole genome shotgun sequence.
GGGCGCUUAGCUCAGGGGUAGAGCGCACGCUUCGCAUGGAGAAGUACACCAUCAAAGGAUAUUAUCCGUGCGUGAGGUCGUGGGUUCAAUUCCCACAGCGUCCA